rnacentral:rRNA from 1 species
ACAGGGGUGGCAAGCGUUACUCGGAAUUAUUGGGUGUAAAGGGCAGGUAGGUGGCUCUAUAAGUGAGGGGUGAAAUCCUGCGGUUCAAUCGCAGAACAGCCUUUCAAACUGUGGAGCUUGGGUGUGACAGAGGAAGAUGGAAUUCCUGGUGUAAGGGUGAAAUCUGUAGAUAUCAGGAAGAACACCAACGGCGAAGGCAAUCUUCUGGGUCACUACUGACACUGAGCUGCGAAAGCUAGGGGAGCAAACAGAAUUAGAUACUCUGGUAGUCCUAGCCGUAAACGAUGAAUACUAGGUGUUGGUCCCUUCGGGGAUCAGCGCCGAAGCUAACGCAUUAAGUAUUCCACCUGGGGACUACGGUCGCAAGGCUA